rnacentral:rRNA from 2 species
AGAGUUUGAUCCUGGCUCAGGACGAACGCUGGCGGCGCGCCUAACACAUGCAAGUCGAACGAGCGAGAGAGAGCUUGCUUUCUCGAGCGAGUGGCGAACGGGUGAGUAACGCGUGAGGAACCUGCCUCAAAGAGGGGGACAACAGUUGGAAACGACUGCUAAUACCGCAUAAGCCCACGGCUCGGCAUCGAGCAGAGGGAAAAGGAGCAAUCCGCUUUGAGAUGGCCUCGCGUCCGAUUAGCUAGUUGGUGAGGUAACGGCCCACCAAGGCGACGAUCGGUAGCCGGACUGAGAGGUUGAACGGCCACAUUGGGACUGAGACACGGCCCAGACUCCUACGGGAGGCAGCAGUGGGGAAUAUUGCACAAUGGGGGAAACCCUGAUGCAGCGACGCCGCGUGGAGGAAGAAGGUCUUCGGAUUGUAAACUCCUGUUGUUGAGGAAGAUAAUGACGGUACUCAACAAGGAAGUGACGGCUAACUACGUGCCAGCAGCCGCGGUAAAACGUAGGUCACAAGCGUUGUCCGGAAUUACUGGGUGUAAAGGGAGCGCAGGCGGGAAGACAAGUUGGAAGUGAAAUCUAUGGGCUCAACCCAUAAACUGCUUUCAAAACUGUUUUUCUUGAGUAGUGCAGAGGUAGGCGGAAUUCCCGGUGUAGCGGUGGAAUGCGUAGAUAUCGGGAGGAACACCAGUGGCGAAGGCGGCCUACUGGGCACCAACUGACGCUGAGGCUCGAAAGUGUGGGUAGCAAACAGGAUUAGAUACCCUGGUAGUCCACACCGUAAACGAUGAUUACUAGGUGUUGGAGGAUUGACCCCUUCAGUGCCGCAGUUAACACAAUAAGUAAUCCACCUGGGGAGUACGACCGCAAGGUUGAAACUCAAAGGAAUUGACGGGGGCCCGCACAAGCAGUGGAGUAUGUGGUUUAAUUCGA